CCCUAGCUUUCUUAUUUCUCAGAGAAGAUGGAGGGCAAAAGAAAUUGUGACUCAUCUAUCUAGCCUGAAUCAAGUAGACUAGCAUUAGGAGUCUGUGUCUGUCCUCACAAACUCAGAAUUCUGUAUGGAGGAAGCAGGAAAUUGGCAAAGAUUCUGCCUUUCCAGCAACUAACUGAUAGAACAGAUAGAACAAAUGCAGGGCAAUUCCCAGAAACACCAUAAGAAUGUGAUAAAUCAUGUUGAACUCAUUGUAUAACAUGAUUCUUUGGAGUUCACGUUGAAGAAUGUGAUAGAAAUUUAGCAAUCACAGUCUGUCGAGGAUGUAAUUUACAAAGGCAUUUAUUUAGGGAUUGGGACAAGAAAGUAACAUUAUGUGCUAAAAUAUUUGACAAAUGGGUGUGUGGAUUUUAAAGGCAAAUGGAUUCGGUGGAGACAGACAAUGGCAAAUUGGCAGCUCUCAGUGGAAGGAAGAAUUGCAGCCAUGAAGUGAUGUAGAGAUUGACAGCCUCACUCUUGGACAGGAAGCUAUUAAAAUGUCAAUUCUGGUCAUUUGGGUGGCUUACUAAAGGAAGGAGAGGAUAGAAACCUGUGAUAAGGCAUUAUAGAAACAACUGGCCCAUUAAUUAAAAACUCCUUUACUAUGACUAAAAAAAACAUGGGUUGCAUGAAAAAAAAAAAGCUCUAUUUGUAAAGGAAAUGAAGAUAAACAAGAAACCUGCUGAUGGCAUUUUCAGACGGGAACUUGUUUUCUAGUAAAGAACACUUUGUAAAGAGGUUUUAUGAUUGUGACGGGAGGAGGCUCUUAAAUUAAGGUUGUGCUCUCCUAGAUGUAUGAAGAGCUGCAUCUUUAAAUGACUUAACGGGACAUUUUCAAGCAACUCAGCACUUGGCAGAUUUGAUUUUGACGAGCAGGAGCAGAUUCUGUUUUCUUCAUUGGUGUCCCUCCUUCCCCUGCCUCCUCUAAUCUCUGUCCCUGCCAGUCUGGGUAAAGUUUCUGGCACCUGACUUGUUUGCCAGGAAAAAGACAACUGCUGCUGAAGGAGAAGCACUGUCCUGCUUGCUCGGCUGCCUUAGGACUCCACUCUCUCAGUUACUGUGGGCUCUGCAAGGGGUUCUGGCACUCCCAGAACUCGGGGGACACCCCACCUCGUGUCCAUCUUUUUUCAAUGUGGGGCGGUUCAGGGGUCUCAAGAAGGAUUUUGAAAUUGUUGAAGCCUGUUGUCCAUCUUUCUAAAUACUCGAUUUGGUAGGUUACACAUUAACAUUUUGUACUUGGGAGAACAGGAUGAUGGGGAUGGAGCAUGCUCAGUUUUAUGCUUCUUAGGGAGAAAAUUGUAUGGGUUGUAAUGAGCAAGACUUAGGCAAAAGUUUCCUCCGCAAAUGCUGAGAGAAGACAAAAUGUUAAAUUGGAGCAGGGUUAGAGUAAGAUAUUUAAUUUUGUUUUUUAUUUGCUUGGAAUAAAAACUUGAACA